rnacentral:rRNA from 1 species
UAUUCUGGCAGUAGUAGAAGCUUAAGAUUGGUGAGAAUCCAAUCCGCCGCAGGGGCUAGGUUUCCUCGACAAUGUUCGUCAGUCGAGGGUUAGUCGGUCCUAAGACGUACCGUAAUUCGAGUACGCCGAAAGGGAAACAGGUUAAUAUUCCUGUACCUGUAUCAAACAAUCCUGACGCUUUCGGAUAGGCAUUGCGGAGUCAUCGCUCCGUCUAAGCUGGAUAUGAAAUUGGAGUACCGUAAUGGUGAGAAUUUUUCAAAACGGUGAUGGGGUAACAAUGCUGAUUCCAGGAGCCCGUGAAAAGGGUGAUACGGUCCGUACCGAGAACUGACGCUGGUGCCCCUCGCUGAGAAGGCGAAGGCGUGUCGGGAGUAAAUGUGUUAAGGGAACUCGGCAAAUUAGCCCUGUAACUUUGGGAUAAGGGGUGCCUGCCCAGCGAUUGGGCAGGUCGCAGUGACAAGAUCGCUCCGACUGUCUAAUAACAACAUAGCAGACUGCAACUCCGAAAGGACUCGUAUAGUCUGUGAUUCCUGCCCAGUGCGAGUAUCUGAACACCGGGUUCAACCGGACGAAGGACUCGUAAACGGCGGGGGUAACUAUGACCCUCUUAAGGUAGCGUAGUACCUUGUCGCUUAAUUGGCGACUUGCAUGAAUGGAAUAACGAGAGCGAUACUGUCCCCAACACAUACCCGUUGAACCUUUUGUACUAGUGCAGAGACUAGUGACUCCUUAUGGGAAGUGAAGACCCCGUGGAGCUUUACUGCAGCCUGUCGUUGGGUUACGGUAUUACCUGCGCAGGGUAGAUGGGAGACGUCGAUCCAACCCUUGUGGGGGUUGGUUAGUCAACGAUGAGACACCAUCCUGGUUUUAUUGUAAUUCUAACUGAUUUAUCAGGACAUCGAUAGGUAGGCAGUUUGGGUGGGGCGCCACACCCUCGAAAAAAUAUCAAGGGUGCCCUAAGGUCAACUCAAGCGGGUCAGAAACCCGCUGAAGAGUGUCAAGAGCAAAAGUUGGCCUGACGCGAUUUCGCAUAGCAAGAAAUCGCGAGAGGAAACUCGGGUCUAACGAACCAAUACGCCCUGUUGAUGAGGGCUAUUGACUACAGAAAAGCUACCCCGGGGAUAACAGAGUCGUCGCCGGCAAGAGCACAUAUCGACCCGGCGGCUUGCUACCUCGAUGUCGGUUCUUUCCAUCCUGGCUGUGCAGCAGCAGCCAAGGGUGAGGUUGUUCGCCUAUUAAAGGGGAUCGUGAGCUGGGUUUAGACCGUCGUGAGACAGGUCGGUUACUAUCUAUAAGGGGUGUUGGAAGUCUGAAGGCAAGAAUGAAAUAGUACGAGAGGAACUUUCAUUCGGCGCCACUGGUCUACCGGUUGUCUGACAAGGCACCGCCGGGCAGCUACGCGCCAAGAGAUAAAAGCUGAAAGCAUCUAAGCUUGAAACUCAGCCUGAACAAGAGACUUCAUUAAAGACACGGGUAAAAGACCCGGUUGAUAGGUUCGGGAUGUACGCACGAAGGCAACGACGUGUUCAGUCCGCGAAUACUAAUUGUCUUAAUAACG